AACUGUGUGAAAACACAUGAUACAACACAUUAAACCAAACCUUUGCAUAAACAACCACUUGAUGAACAGUGUGGUUACGUGAGAGAACGGUACCAACACACGCUAGGUUCUACGGUAACACUGUCACCUAGUGUUUCAACUGCGCCGUGAUCAUUCAUAAAGAGGACACGCAUUAACGCCACCUGGCACAUAUCACAUGCUGCUGGCGGUGACGUUGCCUCGCCACAAGCGUUCAUGUGUCUAGGGACCUGAGGGAAAUAUCAACACGGAGUACUAUAUAUACCUACCCUGUAUAUAUACCUGGACAUACCUGGAUAGAGUUAAUAUACCUGGAUAAAGCUGGAUAUACCUGGAUGAUGCACCGACCGAGGGCAAAUCGUGCUGACAUGCACAGGUUUCAUCACCAGCUUGGAAUAACGGGGGGAGUCUGAGAAUAAAUAAUUAACAGUG